rnacentral:lncRNA from 1 species
UAAAUAUUGGACGUGCGGCUCGACUAUACGAGUCAUUUAUCAUUUCACCGAGUCCCGGGCCGGGUAAUGUUCGUGCGGAGUUUCUUGCAUAUGUCACCGAGUCCCUCACUAGAGGGCCGGGUAUGUAUAUUAUAUAUAUGAUUGGUGAUGAGGAUGGUUAUGAUGAUGAUGAUGACGGAGAUGAUGUGAUGACUAUUUCACCGAGUCCCUCACUAGAGGGCCGGGUACGUAUGAUGUAUAUAUAUGAUGAUUAUUUUGCCGAGUCCCUUAUUAGGGAAGCUGGGCACCUUAUAUGUUA